rnacentral:rRNA from 1 species
AUGACAAGCACUUUGAAAAGAGGGUGAAAAGAGCCUGAAACCGUCAUGGGGGAAGCGGAUUGCGUUGGGUUGAGUGGUUGCAGUGUGUUCAACUGGUUUGUCAGUGUAUUGGCACAGCAAUCGAUCUGUCGUGGGUUUGGGAUGGUUGAUUUUGCAACUGUUCUGGGCUGAGGGCUCCCUUUUAUAGGUGAGGACGAUGGAGGGACGACGCGAUACGACCCGUCUUGAAACACGGACCAAGGAGUCUAGCGCGGGUGCGAGUCAAAGGGUGCAAGCCUGAGGGCGUAGUGAAAGCAAAUGUGAAAACUUGCAGUUUGGGGCGGCAUAAGAUCGUUGAUCUUAAGACCGACCUAGAGCAGUUGCGCUGGGACCCGAAAGAUGGUGAACUAUGCCCGAGUAGGGCAAAGCCAGAGGAAACUCUGGUGGAGGCUCGUAGCGGUGCUGACGUGCAAAUCGCUCGUCAAACUUAGGUAUAGGGGCGAAAGACUAAUCGAACCAUCUAGUAGCUGGUUCCCUCCGAAGUUUCUCUCAGGAUAGCGGGCCGACAUGGUGUUGUUUUGUGC